GAACCUGGGGGGGGAGACAACGCACGCCUUACUCUGCUUCCACCGCCUCUUUCUACCUCAAACUACGCCGUUCGGAACACGUGCUGGCCGACGAACGCUGCAGCUCAGAAAGGAUACUCCAGCGGCCCGUUAGCAGCUGCGGGCCUCUGCCUCCCCGCAGGUGCUGUUUCGUUUACGUAACUGAGCAAACGAGACCCAGGUCUCGUGGUUCGGUGGUUUAAACGAGAGGAUGCAUUACGUCGCUCACACUGUUUUCUGGAAUGUCCUCAGUGACCAGCACCCACCAUACACGGGAGUAACGAGGCACCGUGGGAGACACACGCGUGAACGAAUCCGUCCAAACAACUGGUUUUCUGUGCUGGAGAGGAGGGAGAGAACCUCGCAGAACACAAGGACCUAGGAGCCGGGCCCGAGGUCAAACCCGAGCCCUACCACCAGGCAGCUGUGUGGCUCGGGGAAAGCCACGUACCCUCUCUGAUGCCCGUUUGUUUUCACUUUUAAGACGGGAACGGCCUACGUCCCGCAGGCUUGCUGCAAAGACUAAAGUGGCACACGAGGCGCCUGGGACCCAGGCCACGAAGAGGAAGACGCUGUUCCCACCGCCCAUCUCAGAGGUCACGAUGAUGUUUCACAAACGCCAGCUGUGGUCAUUCCGUAAGACCCCGAGCAAGUUCACAGCGAUGAGAGCAGAAGGCGCAGACCCCUCCCCGGCAGGGCCGGCUGCGGCAGAGGGUGAGGGGGCUCGGGGCGCAGGAGGGAGGUGAACGUCUCCAACCGAGGGAACCCAAGAGGUUCUGCACAGGAGGCGCCUUCAAGGUCGGCUGGCACACGCUGGCGGGGACGGCACAGGAGCGGCCCCCCCACCCCCCUGCACACGCUCCGAGGGGCCCUGGCCUCAAGUGUCAAUUCUGUUCUUCCCGCCAACCGUGGGCCUCAGGGGGAUGAGCUGCUUCUACUCUGGACCAGGAAGGUCCAGGCCGUCCUGCUCACGCCUAGUCAGGUGCUAUCCACCCUGUUUGUCAAGGCAGCCUGGGGACCUCUGGAACGCUCCGGCGCAGCUCCCGGAAUCCCCCCCCCCCCUGGGGUCCCUUCUCCCACAGGACCGGACACGGGCCCUGUAUCUUCUGCCUUCCCUGCCAACAUCUCCCAGGAGGCACGUGUUGGGAUAGGGUGGAUGCCGAGCUGGAAUUAGCUUGGACGGAUGUGGAGACACAUCCGGGCACCAAGCUCCCGAGCUCUGGGUUCAAGGCCGACCACUGGUCACCUUCACAGGGAGGUAAGGCAGGUGCCCGGGAGCCGAGCACAGUCUCCCCGUACCCGCUCCCUCGCCUCUCCUCCACUACUCCCCGCGUCUGAUGGCAGCCAGCCGGGCCUGGGAUCCACAGGUCACCCGAGACCCCGCCGUUCCCUCCACGUCCAGAUGGUGGCUGUGAACCCUGUGUUUAACCCUCCUUCCAAAGGGGCCCCCGCCCAGCCCCGCUCCAGGGCCCCCUGCAGUCUGCCUUUCACACUGCACACGGUGACCCCCAGACAAAACUGUUGUCUCCAGCUCACAGACUCUCCCCGGCCAAGCCUCUGGAAGGGCCGAGUGCUGACCUAGACCCAAGCUCCCCGCACGGCCCUUGAGGCCUCGAGCCCAAGCCGAGCCCCUCGUCCCUCCCGUCCCGGCUCAGCACCGCUGGCCGGGCAUCCGCUUCCCUGGCCCGCCUUCCACGCUCUGGCCGGAUAGAAACCACAUCACCGUUUUCACCAGAGAACCGGACAAGCUAUCGUACGGGACAAACGGGUGACCCUAAGGCAUCCUGAGACCACAGAGAGGGAAAUCACGAGGCGGCCUACCUGCUGAAACUGCCCCUCCGAGACGCCGUCGCGGUAGAAGAUGAUGCGGGUCGGCUUGAAGCGCGUGGACUUGUAGAACUGGAUGAGGAGCUCGCGGACCAUGGUGGCCAGGUCCUGGAUGAUCUCCUGCCGGUGCUGCUGAACCCGCACGGUGGCACAGUAGCGGUUGGGGUGGGCGUCCAUGCUGCCCACGACCUGUCGGGACAGGUGCAGGGAGCGUUGGGGGGACUUCCCGGAAGCCCCCUACUCUCGGUGUGUGCUGGAGGAGGGACUGGGGAUGGACAGACUUGCCUAUGCCCUCAACUUGACAUCACAGUGAAGGGACAGUGGCUGGUCAGUUGUGAACCUGCUGCCUUUAUGUUUCUUUUUAGUAUGUGGGCAACAGUGUUCGUAAAUAGACUGCAAAGAAUAAAAACUUGCUUAAA